UACGUAGGGUGCAAGCGUUAAUCGGAAUUACGGGGCGUAAAGCGUGCGCAGGCGGUUUUGUAAGUCAGAUGUGAAAUCCCCGGGCUUAACCUGGGAACUGCGUUUGAAACUACAAGGCUAGAGUGUGACAGAGGGGGGUGGAAUUCCACGUGUAGCAGUGAAAUGCGUAGAGAUGUGGAGGAACACCGAUGGCGAAGGCAGCCCCCUGGGUUAACACUGACGCUCAGGCACGAAAGCGUGGGGAGCAAACAGG
rnacentral:rRNA from 1 species